rnacentral:misc_RNA from 1 species
GACCUUGGCCUCUUGAUCGUGGACGAGGAACAGCACUUCGGCGUCUCCCACAAGGAACGGCUGAAGCAGUUGCGCGCCGAAGUUCACGUGUUGACGCUCUCCGCGACCCCGAUUCCGCGCACGCUGCAACUCGCGCUGACCGGCGUGCGCGAGCUGUCGAUCAUUGCGUCGCCGCCGGUCGAUCGUCUCGCGGUNNNNNNNNNAUCCGUUGAUGAUCCGCGAGGCACUGCUGCGCGAGCGGUAUCGCGGCGGUCAGGCGUUUUA